UACGGAGGGUGCAAGCGUUAUCCGGAUUCACUGGGUUUAAAGGGUGCGUAGGUGGGUCUGUAAGUCCGUGGUGAAAUCUCCGAGCUUAACUUGGAAACUGCCAUGGAUACUAUAGAUCUUGAAUACUGUGGAGGUUAGCGGAAUAUGUCAUGUAGCGGUGAAAUGCUUAGAUAUGACAUAGAACACCAAUUGCGAAGGCAGCUUGCUACAGGGAUAUUGACACUGAGGCACGAAAGCGUGGGGAUCAAACAGG
rnacentral:rRNA from 1 species